CCUACGGGGAACAGCAGUGGGGAAUAUUGCGCAAUGGGCGCAAGACUGACGCAGCGACGCCGCGUGAGGGAUGAAGGUCUUCGGAUCGUAAACCUCUGUCAGCAGGGAAGAACGGUCACUGUGCUAAUCAGCAGUGAAUUGACGGUACCUGCAAAGGAAGCACCGGCUAACUCCGUGCCAGCAGCCGCGGUAAUACGGAGGGUGCGAGCGUUAAUCGGAAUUACUGGGCGUAAAGAGCUCGUAGGCGGUAUGUCAAGUCAAGGGUGAAAUCCCCGCGCUCAACGUGGGAACUGCCUUUGAAACUGUAAAACUUGAGUGUGUGAGAGGAUAGUGGAAUUCCAGGUGUAGGAGUGAAAUCCGUAGAUAUCUGGAGGAACAUCAGUGGCGAAGGCGACUAUCUGGCACAUAACUGACGCUGAGGAGCGAAAGCGUGGGUAGCAAACAGGAUUAGAUACCCGAGUAGUC
rnacentral:rRNA from 1 species